UCAUGAUGAGUUGUAAAUAAGCAAGGAAAUGCAAAAAGAUUCUAAAAAAGAAAAAAGAAGAGAAUACGAUAAUAAAAGGUAGUUCAGAUUUUCAUUUUCGUUCUUUUUCUUUCUCUCUUUUUCUCUCAAAAUGAGCCCUUCGAUAUUAUAGUUUUUUUAAAAA
rnacentral:ribozyme from 13 species